ACACGCUUCCCCACUGAGGGAAGACCAUGUGACUAUACAACAGGAAGGUAGUUGUUUACAAGCCAGGAAGAGAGCCCUCACCAGAAACCAAAUUGGCUGGCGCCUUGAUCAUGGACUCCUGGGCUCCGGAACUGUAAGAAAAUUUGUGUUGUGGAAGCCACCCAGCCCAUGGUAUUUCGUUAUGGCAGCCUGAGCAGAGGUGGUAGCUAUGUGGACAGUUUUUGGACUUCUCUAUUAGACGGCGUUUCACCAUGUUGCCCAGACUGGUCUCGAACUCCUGGCUUCAAGUGAUCCUCCUGCCUCAACCUCCCAAAGUGCUGGUAUUACAGAUGAGAAAACAGAAGCAAAGGCAGAAAGAUGCUACAUUGCCAGCUUUGAAGAUGGAGGGAAGAGGUCACAAACCAAGGAAGGUGAGUGGUGCCUAGAAGUUGGAAAAGACAUGGAAACACAUUCUUCUGUAAAGCACUUAGAAAGAAAUACAGUCUUCCAAAAUGUUGAUCUUAGCCAGGCAAUGAGGACGUUGCACAAGACAGUCCCUGAUACCCAGAGUUUACUGCCUAAGAGAGGAUACAUCCUUCAAACCAAUAAUCUGCUAAUAGCAAGAUCCAAUAGCUUCAUGGAUAUUGAAAGAAACUGAGAAUCAAAUUUGCAUACUUCUGAGUCACUUGGAAACAAAAAACAAGUACAGUCUUAGAUUCUGAGGGAACAAAAAUUAAAAAUCACAUUAGGAAGAGAAUUCCUAAUGUAGGAACUCAUCCUGGAAGAUUCUUCAGCAAAAGUACAGACAAUAAUAAUAAUACUCCAUGAAGUUACCAUCGAUAUUGAAUGAAUUAAUGAAUGUAAAAACCUCAAAACCCUGCCUGGCCCAGAGCUUUGGAAUGGGUUUGGAUCUACCACUCAACUGCUUUAUGACUUCAGACCAGUUAUUUAAAUUCCCUGAAGCUCAGUUUCCACAUCUUUGAGUGCAGCCCGGAGAGCUGUGAGCAGUGCCACAGGAGGAGAUGACUGGUGAGUGAAAUAAGCAAGAUAGGAGUUGAAGUGUACAUGAAGCAGAGUCCAAGCCUUCUCCUUCUGGAUGUUCAGCUGGAUCAUCCUGACUGCUCCCACUUUCAUCUUGGCUUUCAAAGGCAAGAGGAAAUUAUAAGGAAUAUUCUGAGUGGCUUUCAUCCAGGAGUUCUGUGGGACCCGCAACACCUGGAUGGUAGAUGCAAACAGAUAAAGAAUAUUGGUCACCAAAAGGAGUUCUUUUCAUCAUAGAUCUCUGAAGGUAGACACCUAUUUGCAGACUUCUCAAAGGGCUAUAUGGAUGUGCUCUACUUGUUGGAGGAUUGUCCAUCCACUCUUCUUCCUGUACUUACCAGGACAGAACAGCCGCAACUUCUCAGACAGUUCAUUCUUCUUUUCCUCACCUACUACCAUCUAAGAAAGGGUGGGCAGCACCAGCUCAUUAGAACCAUUUGUGUGACUGACUGAAGACAGCUCACCUUGGAACACUGCAGGCCUCCAAAGAAGUCUACAAAUUCCAUCAGUCAGUAACGGCUUGGAGUUCCAAAGCUUAUGACUCAAAGGUGAUCAGAGCAUGGACCUGGGGCUAGUCUGGAUUGGUAACUGCUAAACUUGGAUACAUGGCUUCUGAUGGCCCUGCUGGGGAGACCAUGUGGAGAGAUGGCAUAGAGCCAGAGAUUCACGUUCCAGGAGCCCUGACUGUCUCAUCUCAGGGAAUUGAAUCUCCUUGUGCUCCAGACCCUAUGAGAGGAUGCCAUCCCCUGCUACCAUCUGACUGCAACCUCAGGAGACACCCCAAGCCAGAACUGAGCAGCCAAGCCACUCUCAUAUUCUUGACCCAUAGACAUUGGGAGAUAAAAACUGAUUGUUGUCAAUUUUAGUCAGUACAUUUUAGGGCAAUUUGAUGUCCUAGCAAUAGACUAGUAUAUUUAUCCAUUGCUGCAUCUUCUUCUGCUUAGAUUAUGAUGCAUGUUUUUUAGCUCCAACUAGUAUCUAAACUUGUCAUGGUCUUUGCUUGAAAGUUUGAUUUUUUGCUGCCCUUGAACUUUACCCCUGAUUCCAAUUUACCCAUUUGUUUUGGUUUAGUUUAAGGAGAUUGUAAACAAGUAUGCCUACAAGGGCCAUGCAACAAAUGCUAAAAAGAGAAGUAGACCUGGGCAGGGAGGCAAGGGAGCGGAAAGAUGUGUAGUACGUUCAGCUCAGGUCACGUUCAUCAUCCAGCUCUGGAAGAUGGAUCCAGUGGGCAUGUGUGCCUAAUGAUGCCACAUUAUCUGAUUUUUUUCUCCAAAAGAAAAAUCAAGAUUUUUAUUAAAAAUCUUCUGGUUUAAAAAAAUUUAAAUGCUAUUCAAAUUUCAAUAACAACCAUGCCAGAUAAAAAAUAGCUACUGACUGAACUUAGCCAUGAUCUGCCAACUUGCAACCUCCAAAUUAGAAGUUUUUAGCCACUAUGGAUGUUAGGAAGACCUGAAACACAGAAUAGAGAGAUUCCAAUUUUUCUAGUGACAAUGAGUCCUGAGAAAGGUGACAAAAUCAGAAUAACCUUUGGAGAAAGAUAAAUGCUACUAUCAGUGGAAUGGGAUUCAGUCUUCAGCCUGUUGUAGUAAUUCAGUAAGCACAUGUGGUCAUUGAGUGAACUCGCAUGGCCAAUACAAGGUAAGCUUGGCGGUUCCUUCUAUGUCAAACGUUCUAUUUAAAUAGAGAGAAAAGAGGAGUAAUAAUUGUUAAAACCCUUUUGCAGUUUUAAAAAGGCAUAUAAAUAGUAAAGGACCAGUUACCUUGCUUGAGAAAUUUGUACAGUACCUAGUUGUUCCUGAAAGAGUGUACUGACAGGAGCUGAAAAGCCUACCUGGAAGAGAAUAUGGUCCCAAAUUCCAAAGGCAGAAAGGAACACAGGUUAAAUAGAAGGAGCAGUAACAACCCAGACCAGAGAAGCCAGGCAAAGCCUUGGAGACUAGGUAUACAUAGGAGAUAGCAGUUCUCAAUUCCCAUUCCCUUUGUGCCAAGCACAGGCACCGUGAUCCUUCACUGAAGCUCAGUGAACACUGUUCUCAGAGAGAGGUCCUGUCAGCAUCCACCUACCGAACCAUCAAAUGUGUAUCUGUCUCAGUUCUGCUUGGGAGCCUGAUACAGAUCUUUCCAUCACUCAUGAAGGCCCUAGAAUGCAUCCUCUUUUUUUUUUUUUCCUUCUGGAAAAUAUCAACCAGUUUUGGUAGAUUUUACCUUUCCAUUCUCUGUGUCCCUCCAUUAUUUUGGUCAACUCACCUCUGAAAACAGCAAAGCCUCUCAGGUCUACCGUGGGACACGCAGAAUUACAAGCUGAGCUACCCUCUGGGAUGGAAGCAGGGGUCUGGGAGGGUGGCACUAACGCUUAAUAUUAUUGAGUUAAAAUCUCAAUAAAUUAUCCCAGUAAAUCAUACAAUCAGAAAGACAAAGUCCUUGCCAAUAAAUAUGCACAACUCUCUGCCUAGAGACAAACCCACCUUGAGUUCACUCACGCAACCCAAUACCCAUAAACUACUCUCCAUAAAGCAAUGGAAAAGAGGAGCUGAGGUUAACAAAGUUCUUUCAGCCUACCCACGUAGGCUGACAUUUAUCUGCAUGCAUAGAACUCACAACAUUUAUUGUAGCAGAGUACAUAUUUCAGAAAACUGAUUUUGCUUUUUCCUAUAGCUGAUAACCUGGAAAAUACAGUCAUCUGUACUCUGUCUCCCAGGCGAUAGUGCAAAUCAGUAAAGAGUUUCCAUUGAUGGUUCUUUUGCAGACUCUAACCACAAUUGAACUCUCUGCUUUCCAUCAGUCGCCCACCCUGUUGUGUACAAAGAAGCAGAUAUGCAAUAUAGCAGGAGCCCCAAGAAAAGGUCUGGCUGUUCUGUCAAAACUAUUUAGUUCAAUAUUGUUCUCAAUGUGGCACCAUAGCCCUGGACAUGACACCCAGCACGUCCAAACAGACAUGAUUAUAUAUGAGACAGAAAGGCACUUACAUCACUGCGGGUUGUUAUGCUUUAAAGGGCUUUUUCCCCCCUCUUCAAAUUAAAAGUUUUCAAAAAUGAAAUAAAAAUAAACCUUUGAAGAAACCAGAUUGAGACUGAAUUUGGAAGGCCCUCCUGCCUAGUGUAUACUAAAGAAACAUUUUCUGGGUUUGUCCCUGAUGAUUUUCCUUGUAGUUGAGAAACACAAUCCACUGGAAGCUUUUGUGGCAGAACAAGAAUUUUAUGAACACGAACUUUACAAAGACUUCCCUAGGAGAUUUAAGGUCUGGAAAUCAAUAGAUCAAUCAGCAGCUUUUAUCAAUCUAUAAUGGUUCUCUCUCUUUGGAUGUUUGGAUGAAAAUGGGAUCAACGUAAAUUGAACAUGGAAUCACUUAUUCUUACAAGUUAAAUUUGUCAAACUGUAAGGCACAUAAAUGACAUGAAAUGUAAUCAUUUUUGAAUUUGGGACCCUACAGGGUGCACGUUGAUUGAAGAAAAAACAAGCAGAUGUUGCUUCAGCAUAACUCAUAGAGGCAAUCUAAAUGUUCUUCAAUCCCUGACACUUCUGAUCGUUUCCCAAAUAAACCAGUUCAUUAGUUAA
rnacentral:lncRNA from 1 species